rnacentral:rRNA from 1 species
UACGUAGGGUGCAAGCGUUAAUCGGAAUUACUGGGCGUAAAGCGUGCACAGGCGGUUGUGUAAGUCAGAUGUGAAAUCCCCGGGCUCAACCUGGGAAUUGCAUUUGAGACUGCACGGCUAGAGUGUGUCAGAGGGGGGUAGAAUUCCACGUGUAGCAGUGAAAUGCGUAGAGAUGUGGAGGAAUACCGAUGGCGAAGGCAGCCCCCUGGGAUAACACUGACGCUCAUGCACGAAAGCGUGGGGAGCAAACAGG